GCAGAAGAAAUCAACGAGAGGCUUCAAGAAUGUAGUCAAAUUGCUUUGGCAGAACUUGCUACGCAGUUGAAUGUUGGAUCAGAAUUCGUGGCUUCUAUGUUGGAAGCCCGCCUUGGAACUUUGGUGAAAGGUAGGCUUGAAGGCGGGCAGUUGUAUACACCAGCUUAUGUUGCUCGUGUUAGUGCCAUGGUUCGUGGUGCUGCGAGGGGUAUCACAGUUCCUACAAAUUUGUCAGUCUUAUGGGGAACUUUACAGCAGUUGUUGCAUGAAAUGGAUGGAGCCAGUGGUGUCGCUGUUGAAAGUUCAUUUUUUCAGUCCAUUUUUAAUGGAUUAGUGAAGGAAGGCGAGGUUCUUGGAUCACUCCGUGCAGGAGUUCAUUGGACCCCAACUGUCUUUGCAAC
rnacentral:misc_RNA from 1 species